rnacentral:rRNA from 1 species
CAAUCCUGUAAUCCCUGGAGGACCACCGGUGGCGAAGGCGCUCUCCUAGGACGGGUCCGACGGUGAGGGACGAAAGCCAGGGGAGCGAACCGGAUUAGAUACCCGGGUAGUCCUGGCCGUAAACGAUGUGGGCUUGGUAUUGGGAAUCCCACGAGGGUUCCCAGUGCCGUAGGGAAGCCGUUAAGCCCACCGCCUGGGGAGUACGGUCGCAAGGCUGAAACUUAAAGGAAUUGGCGGGGGAGCACUGCAACGGGAGGAGCGUGCGGUUUAAUUGGAUUCAACGCCGGGAAGCUCACCGGGGGAGACCCCCAGAUGUGGGCCAGGCUGAAGACCUUGCCCGACUAAUAGGGGGAGAGGUGGUGCAUGGCCGCCGUCAGCUCGUACCGUAGGGCGUUCUGUUAAGUCAGGUAACGAGCGAGACCCCCGCCCCUAGUUGCUACUUGCUCCUCCGGGGGCAAGGCACACUAGGGGGACCGCUGGCGCUAAGCCAGAGGAAGGAGGGGGCAACGGUAGGUCAGUAUGCCCUGAAUCCCCCGGGCUACACGCGCGCUACAAAGGCUGGGACAAUGGGUUGCGACCCCGAAAGGGGGAGCUAAUCCCUAAACCCAGUCGUAGUUCGGACCGAGGGCUGAAACUCGCCCUCGUGAAGGUGGAUUCCGUAGUAAUCGCGCCUCAAAAUGGCGCGGUGAAUAUGCCCCUGCUCCUUGCACACACCGCCCGU